ensembl:lncRNA
UCCACAGGGUGGUGGGGUGGGUGGGAUGCCCAGGAUCUUGGCCUUGCAUUUCUCAGAGUUCUGAGCUGGGACACAUGAUUCAGAGCUCAGACACAUGGAGACCAUCUUGGCUUUGCAGCUUGGUCAAGCUAGGCCCCUUCCUGAGGCCCCAGGAUUGAUGACCUGGCUGUGCCAUCAGUGUGGGAGGGGUGUGUGUUCCACAAGUCUCAGGCACAAUGCCUCUGCCCUCUAGGAUAUACAUCCUUUGUCGAUAGGGAUAAAGGAAAGGUUGGGACUGUGCUGGGUAGUAGGAGACAGCACCUCUAGAAGCACCCAAUACAUAGAAGGCGAGGCUGAGCAGCUGAAGGAUUCAGGUGGCCCUGUAAUCACAAGGACAGCAUUACCAAGUUCUGAGGGGAAGUAACCAUGUCUGAUUGGAAGAAGGGCAUCUUGUAGGCCAAAAAGGCCCAAACAUCAGCUUUUUAGGACACUUACCCAGCUCAGGUGUUCCCAGAACAGCAAACCACAAACCAAUAGCUCUCCCAUGACCCUCAUACUAAGCUACUUGCUUGGUGGUUAUCCUCAGACCAAGGUCUUGACUGCUCAGAUCCAGCUGCUACCCAGAGUUGCCAGGAGGGGGUACACUCUGGCUUCUCUUUGGGGAAGGUCAGCAGAGCCACUCCAUUUACCAGGAUCUGGCCCAGGAGCCCUGGACACCUGGUGGAUAGAACAGAGAAAUCUGGAGGCACAGACAAGUCUGUUUCUGAGUUUCUGUCCAGAGGGUUAUGGCCUGCCCUCCCACCUACCCAGGUUUUGUGGUCAUCUGUCUUGGUACCAGCAGGGGCUAUCUAGGGUAGCUGGAAGCACAAUAGGUCUUUCAGGAGCCUAUGGCUCUAUGGAGUCUCCAGCCCAAGGAAGAUACAGUCCCCCGUUUAGUACAUAGUGUGGGGCAAGGAAGGACAUGAUCAAAACCCAUUGUUAUGGAAAAUGUUCCCAAGAAGCCUGAGCUUCUUGCAGUGGGACAUUCCCAGAGGAAACCUGGAGAUCCCAGGAAGUCCCUCCUGGGUGGUCAACCCCCAGCCCCGUCCCACUGCAAUCAGCUGGCCACAGGGUUUGCCACACUGGAGCCUCCAGCAGACCUGCCCCUCCCAAGGUGGAUCCUGUAUCCAGUUGGUCCCUGACUUGGUACAUUGCCACUGCUUGAACCUUCCAAGUUUUAAUUCUGCCUAAUAGAACAGCAUAGAUAAAGCUUGGACUAAGCAAACAGGAGCAGUGACUUUGCCCCUCCUCUGGGAGAAAACCUAUUGGCAGUAAGGAUAGGAAGUUACCUCACCAUUUAGCUAGACCCCAAGGCAGCUACCCAGAGAGCAUAGGCCCCUCCACCUGCCAGCAGUUCACAGACCUAGAGUCCCAAAGGAGGGCAGGAACUUCAACCAGGAAUCCUUUCCAUUUUGUUAUCCUGUUAGCUCACUGAUUAUCUGGACCCAGGUGUAUGUGGCUCAUAAAGCAAGUGGUGAUAGAGUAAUUUGCAAAAUUUGAGCUUUAGAUUUGAGCAGCUGGCCUGGCCAUCUUAUGGCCAUCACACCAAGCUACCGACGUGUUCAUCCCUGAGAAACUUGACUCCAUGACUGCCUCUUGGUCUGUUUACUGCUGUGUGUCCAAAGCCUAGAACAGGGUUGGGCCCCAAGUUGGUUCAAGGAGAACUGGGCUGCUUGACCCUGCAGGGCUCUCUGCUGCUCCCACAUCCCCAGGCUAUCUUGUGACUUAAGUGUGUCCACAUGUCAAGAUUGUGUCCUCUGACAAGGACCAAACUGGCACGGAGCAGGGUUCAGUCAACAGUUGAUAACCCAAAGGCUUUUCUUCAGAACACUAAGGAUGACCACAGUGUGACUAGAGAUGCAGAAGAGACCCUUGUCCCUUAUCAUGCCUAUUUCCUCCAUUUCCCUCAACAAUCCUAAGAUUCCUCCUUAGGCCCUUUUGAGCAACUAGACUACCAUAAUGGCAGGCCUUGUUCCUGCCCUGAUCCACUCAUAGGGCCCUGCUUAGCAACACUGGCUUGAGUUUGCCAUCUGCAGUAAUCUAGCUGGAGCCACAGAUCCACAGGCCAAAUAUUAGCUGUUUCUAUGGCAAGCAGGUCACAAGACUGCUCCUUUCCUCUUUGAGGAGCAAUAUUAGCUCUGAUCUCAACCACUAUGAUCACUGAAAAUCCACUCUCAGUGUCCUCUCAUGUGAAGGCCACAUUGCCCAAAGGCUGCACCCUUCACACUGGGAAGUUGAGAGGUUGCCCAGGUUACAAAGAGCAGAACCCUCUAUAUAGUCCUUAAUGUCCUCCAGGCAGCCUGCUAGCUGCCCUCUGCAGAUGGCCAGUAGGCCUGGGACUGGUGUUCCAGAGCAAGGGGAUAAGUCUCCCAGGACAGAUGAAUGUCCUGCCACCUAGGACUAUUUAGAAAGCCAGUUUCUGUGCCAGGCGUGGUGGUGCAUUCCUGUAAUUCCAGCACUCAGGAGCCCGAGGCAGGAGGAUUGCUGCAAGGCCAGGCUGGACUAUCUACUGAGACCCUCAAACAAAGAUUUGUCUCAAAGCCAACUUCUGACCUGACCACUAAAAGUGGGAUCCUUCCCAUCAGGACACAGGAUUCCUAGGCCCAUCCUCUCCACCAUUCCGGCGCGCGCUCAGAGGACAGAGGAUAGAACAGCCUGAAGUGGGCUUAGGAAGCUUUGAGUACUCAAGCCAAUCUGCACGACCGCUGCUUCUGAACGCGGAGCCCUGGAGGAGUCGCCAGGAACAGAGCUAGACAUCCCGGAGGGGACCUGGAAGAGGCUGGGAGCAACCACGGGAUGGCCUGACCCCUCCGCAGAUAGACCUCCUAGCUCUCAACUUGGUCCAAGAACAUCAAGACCCUCAGCCCUGCCUUGGACCUAUGGGAGUCGUAGUCCGGACGUGAGUCCCAGCGUCCCGUGCGCCGCUGACGCACCGUAGCCGAGGGACCCGGCC